CAAUCAUGUCCUUGACUAACUCUUUCCCAAUAGGAGAUAGAGAAACGCCAAAAUAAAAUCAGAAAGUCGUGCAACCAGAAAAGGAUAAACUACAACACUGAGACCAAUCUCAUACACAAAGAAAGCAUGGAAAAGAGAAAAAGAAGAACAGAGGUAUAGCAUGUUCAUGACUGCUAAGAUAGAUCCAAAAGAAGCAUUCCUCAGUGACAGCAUUCGUUUGCUGAACUCUAAAGGAUGCUCUGCUCUUGAUAAGAAUUUAGGAUAAUCUAGCUCAACAACAACACCAACUAAGCCUUAAUCUCAAAAAAUUAGCUCACGGACCAAAAAGUUUGCCAUUGUGCUAGUAGCUCAACGAGCAAGUGCUUGCCUUGCAUUCCAGAAUGUUACCAAAAGAAAAUAAUUAAAACAAAAAAUUGUUAUCAAAUAUCAUAAGAAGGUGCAAAUGAGAUGAGCAAACGAAAUUGACUACCUCCCAUCCCUCUUCCUGUGGACCACCAGGCUCAAUGGCUGGCCCUAGAAAAAGUUGACCAAACAAAGCUGG
rnacentral:misc_RNA from 1 species